ensembl:snRNA U6 U6 spliceosomal RNA
GUGCUUACUUCAGCAGCACAUAUACUAAAAUUGGAAUGAUACAGAGAAUAUUAGCAUGGCCCCAUGCAAGGAUGACACAUAAAUUCAUGAAAUGUUCCAGAUUUAA